GAUGAACGCUAGCGGCAGGCUUAACACAUGCAAGUCGAGGGGUAUUGGUUUUCGGACCAAGAGACCGGCGCACGGGUGCGUAACGCGUAUGCAAUCUACCUUUUGCAGAGGGAUAGCCCAGAGAAAUUUGGAUUAAUACCUCAUAGUAUAGUACUUUGGCAUCAAGGAACUAUUAAAGUCACAACGGCAAAGAUGAGCAUGCGUCCAUUAGCUAGUUGGUAAGGUAACGGCUUACCAAGGCUACGAUGGGUAGGGGUCCUGAGAGGGAGAUCCCCCANACUGGUACUGAGACACGGACCAGACUCCUACGGGAGGCAGCAGUGAGGAAUAUUGGACAAUGGGCGCAAGCCUGAUCCAGCCAUGCCGCGUGCAGGAUGACGGUCCUAUGGAUUGUAAACUGCUUUUANACAGGAAGAAACACUCCGACGUGUCGGAGCUUGACGGUACUGUAAGAAUAAGGAUCGGCUAACUCCGUGCCAGCAGCCGCGG
rnacentral:rRNA from 1 species